rnacentral:rRNA from 1 species
CGCCUGGGGAGUGCGGCCGCAAGGUUAAAACUCAAAUGAAUUGACGGGGGCCCGCACAAGCGGUGGAGCAUGUGGUUUAAUUCGACGCAACGCGAAGAACCUUACCUGGCCUUGACAUCCAGAGAGCUUUCCAGAGAUGGAUUGGUGCCUUCGGGAACUCUGAGACAGGUGCUGCAUGGCCGUCGUCAGCUCGUGUCGUGAGAUGUUGGGUUAAGUCCCGUAACGAGCGCAACCCCUAUCCCUGGUUGCUAGCAGGUAAUGCUGAGAACUCCAGGGAGACUGUCGGUGACAAACCGGAGGAAGGUGGGGAUGACGUCAGGUCAUCAUGGCCCUUACGGCCAGGGCUACACACGUGCUACAAUGGCGCGUACAGAGGGCUGCCAACUCGCGAGAGUGAGCCAAUCCCUUAAAACGCGUCGUAGUCCGGAUCGGAGUCUGCAACUCGACUCCGUGAAGUCGGAAUCGCUAGUAAUCGCGAAUCAGAAUGUCGCGGUGAAUACGUUCCCGGGCCUUGUACACACCGCCCGUCACACCAUGGGAGUGGAUUGCACCAGAAGUAGUUAGUCUAACCUUCGGGAGGACGAUUACCACGGUGUGGUUCAUGACUGGGGUGAAGUCGUAACAAGGUAACCGUAC